rnacentral:other from 1 species
UCAGUCCUGAGAUGUGCGUAAGCCUUAAUAUUUUCAACCUACAUUUUGACAUCGGGAGUUCGGGUUUUUAAAGGGACACUAGGCCACUAUAGGUGGAAAGGGGAACUUUAAAACAGGACACCCACCUGUGAGAAAGCAGGGUUUGAAAAUACUGAGGUAGCGGCAUCCUGGGGGUUAU